UCCGAUAUGGUGUAACGGCUAACAUUACCGCCUUUCAGCGGCUUACGUAAUCGCAGGUUCGCGGUAGCUCGGGGUUCGAUUCCCCGUAUCGGAG